rnacentral:rRNA from 1 species
GAUGAACGCUAGCUACAGGCUUAACACAUGCAAGUCGAGGGGAAACGACAUCGAAAGCUUGCUUUUGAUGGGCGUCGACCGGCGCACGGGUGAGUAACGCGUAUCCAACCUGCCCAUCACUUGGGAAUAACCUUGCGAAAGUAAGACUAAUACCCAAUGACAUCCCACGAAGACAUCUGAAUGGGAUUAAAGAUUUAUCGGUGAUGGAUGGGGAUGCGUCUGAUUAGCUUGUUGGCGGGGUAACGGCCCACCAAGGCAACGAUCAGUAGGGGUUCUGAGAGGAAGGUCCCCCACAUUGGAACUGAGACACGGUCCAAACGCCUACGGGAGGCAGCAGUGAGGAAGAUUGGUCAAUGGGCGAGAGCCUGAACCAGCCAAGUAGCGUGCAGGAUGACGGCCCUAUGGGUUGUAAACUGCUUUUAUAAGGGAAUAAAGUGGGUCUCGUGAGACUUUUUGCAUGUACCUUAUGAAUAAGGACCGGCUAAUUCCGUG